rnacentral:lncRNA from 1 species
CUCAAAUAUAAGAUUUGCAAAUAUUUUCUCCAUUUGUGGUUAUCUUUUCAGUUACUUGAUGGUGUUCUUUGAAACACAAAGGUUUUUAAUUGUGAAAUUCAGACUUCAUUUUUAUUUCUUGGUUUUAGAUUGUUUUUUUGCUUUGUCUUUUGUUUGCGUACACAGGCCUGGAGAGCAGGGCAUGUAUGGGAUAGAACAAAGAAAUCCUAGUGCACAGUCCCCAUGGACCAUUCUUCCUUGGAAAACCAAAGCCCUGUGGCCUGUAAGGAGGUCAGGGCCAGGACUUCGUGAGCAUCCCAACCUUACCCUGUUGGCAUGGCAACGCUCUCCAGCCUUUGAGCCCCCCCAAGACAUCCUGAUACAUUGCCACCAAGAGUCAAAGGAUGGACCAUCUACCCAAAUCUCCAGUCCCUUGGCAAACCUCACCACAGCUCUGAAGCCACUUGUGUCUGAUGAGGAUGAGGCCACCUCACUGGCUGUCUCUGGGGACUGUCAGGCUGCCCACACUUAGCUACCCACACCUCUCUUGGGCCUUGAACUCCUGCCAUUGGCCAAGUGAGUUUGGCCUUGGAGUCCUUGGGCUGGAACUCAUGAUCUAGGCACAGAAUGGACACUUACAGAACCUUUGGCUGAUGGACUGACUCAGCCCAGACCGCAGCUGGAGAAGCUUCCGGACUGCUCACAGCAGUGCCCCCUACUUACGAAGAACCUGUAUGUGGUGCCUUGGUCUAGAUAAGGGCUGGCUAUGUGCUUGCAAAGACAACUCCCAGUCGUGGCAUUAUCUCCAGCUGUCCCCAAGGCUAUCACCAAAAAAGUCCUCCACUACUUAGAGGCGAAAGUCACCGGGGUAGUGGAUGUGCCUGCACCAUAAUGGGAUUGUGGUCCUUACUUAGGUUGUUAUUUUCUAUCAGCCAUGUGAUGCUCCAGAGAUCUCUGACUCAGGGUCUUUGGGCUUUUCAUCAGGGAGAAAGAUAGCAGGUUAGGCACCAUCUUCCUAGAGUUUUGGUGGCUGACAGAGGUAGGAGGUGGAUUCUGGAAUGCCUCUUGGAGUGAAUGCUCUGUAUGGGAAACGGGAAGAUCUAGAUCUAGGCGGGGCGGGGGGGCUGAAGAAUAAAUAACCCAGGAAAGAGAAUAUUACAUAAAAAAGUAUAUACUGGUACCACAAAAAGAAAUCACAAGUUAUUGGAGCCUUCACAUUUCUGCUCUUGUUCAUCUAUAAUCUCAGUUUAUAAGAAAUGCUUGUAGAAACACUUCCCCAUUUAAACCUGGCUUCCUCUCCCCACCUAGAACACUACAUCUCUCGGGACUACAAGCAGAGAGCCCCAAAGCUUAAGAUUCCUCUGCUUCAUGGUAAAUCUACUUCUGAUUAAAGACCAUGCCCACCUUCGUGGCAAGUGGUGGGCAUCACCUCACUUUGAACUUCAAAGAAGCAUCUCGAGUUACCAAGGAGGGAGACGUCAUUUUUCCAGCUUCCGUCACAAGUAUCCUGGCUACCAGCUGCCUGUCCAGCAGGGUCUCUGCCAAGGGGGGCUACAAGAGGCAUUUUGCUCAGGCUUUGCAGCCCAUCCACUGGGCUGACCACAAGGACACUGUGGUAAGGAGUCUGGGUGUUCCUGUCCAGAGCUGCAGGAUAUUGACAUCAGACCCAGGGUGGCAGGAACUUCACUGGUGAGCAUGUGACUGGGCUGAUUUAUCUUCUGUUCAGUGACCCAGAAAAUAAAACCCUCCUUUUUCCUUUGAUCUGCUCUUGUUUGGGGCUUGUGGAUUGUGUCUCUCCUGCCUGGCCACAGACAGAGAGGAACUGUUCCAGACAGACUCAAGGGUAUGCGGCAGUGGCUCUAACACAUGGCCCUGAAGGUUUUGAUUAAAAAGGUGGAAGAAUGGUGCUUUUUCUUUCUGUCAACCAGACCUUAAAUCAGCCCCGAAGUGAGGAAACACUCUGUGCAGCUGCUGGUCAACAAACUUCUUCCUUGCCCUUCUUUUUUUUGUUUGUUUGUUUGUCUUUGUUGUUGCCUUGGCCUUCUGGUUGUGAUUGUACAAGCAUAUUUAAUUUCAAGCCAGGAGCUGGGGUUAGAACAAGCCCUGCGAGCCCUACCACCUCCUGCUGUCUUCGCCACCCAAAUUCUUGGUGGCAAGUAGCAGAUUCUUGCCUUCCAUUUGCUCAAACGAAGGGGAAGCUAUUGGAAAUCUGGGGGCUGAAGGCUCUUUGUAUAUGAAACCAUGAGAGACACAGUAGAACCUGGGCAUGGGACCCCUGGAACCAGAAUGUAUUUUCCAAGGGCAUCUCUAGGGUCUCCUAUACCCUGCACCCCCAAGACUCCAGCCCACAAUCUGCCUGAGAUCUGUGCACUGAUCAUUGUGUUCUGAGUAUAUCCCAGAAAGGAACUCUGGGAAAUCCCAGAGAGCAACUCUGAUUGGCCUAGCUUGGCCUUGGCAGGGAGUAGAACAGAUGACCCUAUGAAGGUACCCUUUUUUUUAAUACUAGGGAUUAAACUCAGGACCUUGUAUUUGCGAGGCAGGCAGCAGCACUUCUGAGCUAAAUCCCUAGCUUUGAAGGCACUUUGAUGGUCAGGAAAAGACUAACUUACUCUUCACACUAUGAACAUACAUGUUGUAUGUGUGUGGGUGUGUUUAUUCAACAAGAAUAUUGAGUACGUACUGUGUGCUAAGAACCUUAUCAGUUCAUUUCAGCAAAGUAGAAUGGGAGAGAUUACGGGUUUGGGAGCUGGACAAAGCUGGAUUUGAAUCUCAGGUCCACCAUUUACUGAUAUUCUAUCUACAAGCAUUUAUGAGCUAUGUAAUGCAUCCCAAGCCCACGCUCCAUUCUGUGAUAUGGAAAUGAAGCAAUGAUCUUAUUCUUCACCCACCUCCCAGAGGCUUAGUUUCCACAUCUGUUAUCCUGGAGCAACAAGCCCUGUUCUUCUGGAGAGAGCAACAGAACUACAAACUGGUGUGAAACCCACACUGAGGGCUUAACACAUGCCUGGCUGUGCCCGGUGCCAGUGGCUAGGGCCAGCCCCUCUUACCUCCCACAGCUGCCUCUAGCUCUGGCUUCUGCUGGAUGCCUGAUUUCCACCCAUGCCCCUGCCCGCAGCCAGACCUCCCAGAGUUGAUGCAGAUCUCCUUACGAAGGGCCAAGGGGUGGCUGGGAUGCAGUUGGGCUAGUGUCCCUUUCUCAUUCCCAUCCUGGAGAAGUCCUGGCCCCCAAAUAAUAGCUGCUUCAUACCUGGUCCAGCAGGACAUAGCAUCCCCCUCAUUUAGAAGGAAGGGGACCCCUGAGAACCCCUUUCUUCUAGAGUCUUGUAUCUCUUUAUUUUUCCUGAAAGCUGAGUCUGCCCAUAUUGGGAAAUUGCAAAUAGUUUACAAGGGGAAUGUCAGCUGCCC